GUGCUCACUUCAGCAGCACAUAUACUAAAACUGGAAAAAUACAGAGAUUAGCGUGGGCCCUGCACGAGGGUGACUCACAAAUUUGUGAAGUGUUCCAUUAAAAA